GACGAACGCUGGCGGCGUGCUUAACACAUGCAAGUCGAACGGAAAGGCCUGCUUUCCCUUGUGGAUUGCGGGUACUCGAGUGGCGAACGGGUGAGUAACACGUGAGUGAUCUGCCCCCAACUUGGGUAUAAGCCUGGGAAACUGGGUCUAAUUCCCGAUAGGACUGCAGGGCGGUGCCUGUGGUGGAAAACGAUUUUCUAGUGGUUGGGGAUGAGCUCGCGGCCUAUCAGCUUGUUGGUGGGGUAAUGGCCUACCAAGGCGGCGACGGGUAGCCGGCCUGAGAGGGUGGACGGCCACAUUGGGACUGAGAUACGGCCCAGACUCCUAUGGGAGGCAGCAGUGGGGAAUAUUGCACAAUGGGCGGAAGCCUGAUGCAGCGACGCCGCGUGGGGGAUGACGGCCUUCGGGUUGUAAACUCCUUUCGACCGCGAGGAAGCCACCUGGUUGGAAGGGUGGUGACGGUAGUGGUAGAAGAAGCACCGGCUAACUACGUG
rnacentral:rRNA from 1 species